AACGGCAGCACGGGGGCAACCCUGGUGGCGAGUGGCGAACGGGUGAGGAAUACAUCGGAACGUGUCUUCAAGUGGGGGAUAACGCAUCGAAAGGUGUGCUAAUACCGCAUAAUCUCUGAGGAGAAAAGCAGGGGAUCGUAAGACCUUGCGCUUUUGGAGCGGCCGAUGUCUGAUUAGCUUGUUGGUAAGGUAAAAGCUUACCAAGGCUUCGAUCAGUAGCUGGUCUGAGAGGACGACCAGCCACACUGGGACUGAGACACGGCCCAGACUCCUACGGGAGGCAGCAGUGGGGAAUUUUGGACAAUGGGGGCAACCCUGAUCCAGCCAUGCCGCGUGAGUGAAGAAGGCCUUCGGGUUGUAAAGCUCUUUCAGCCGGAACGAAACGGUUACGGUUAAUACCCGUAACUACUGACGGUACCGGAAGAAGAAGCACCGGCUAACUACGUGCCAGCAGCCGCGGUAAUACGUAAGGUGCGAGCGUUAAUCGGAAUUACUGGGCGUAAAGCGUGCGCAGGUGGCUUUGUAAGUCAGAUGUGAAAUCCCCGGGCUUAACCUGGGAACUGCGUUUGAAACUACAAGGCUAGAGUGUGGCAGAGGGGGGUGGAAUUCCGCGUGUAGCAGUGAAAUGCGUAGAGAUGUGGAGGAACACCGAUGGCGAAGGCAGCCCCCUGGGUCAACACUGACGCUCAGGCACGAAAGCAUGGGGAGCAAACAGGAUUAGAUACCCUGGUAGUCCAUGCCCUAAACGAUGUCAACUAGUUGUCGGGCCUUAACGGGCUUGGUAACGUAGCUAACGCGUGAAGUUGACCGCCUGGGGAGUACGAUCGCAAG
rnacentral:rRNA from 1 species